UGGGGAAUUUUGGACAAUGGGGGCAACCCUGAUCCAGCAAUGCCGCGUGUGUGAAGAAGGCCUUCGGGUUGUAAAGCACUUUUGUCCGGAAAGAAGACGUUCUGGUUAAUACCUGGGGCGGAUGACGGUACCGGAAGAAUAAGCACCGGCUAACUACGUGCCAGCAGCCGCGGUAAUACGUAGGGUGCGAGCGUUAAUCGGAAUUACUGGGCGUAAAGCGUGCGCAGGCGGUUUUGUAAGACAGGCGUGAAAUCCCCGGGCUUAACCUGGGAAUUGCGCUUGUGACUGCAAGGCUAGAGUGCGUCAGAGGGGGGUAGAAUUCCACGUGUAGCAGUGAAAUGCGUAGAGAUGUGGAGGAAUACCGAUGGCGAAGGCAGCCCCCUGGGACGUGACUGACGCUCAUGCACGAAAGCGUGGGGAGCAAACAGGAUUAGAUACCCUGGUAGUCCACGCCCUAAACGAUGUCAACUAGUUGUUGGGGAUUCAUUUUCUCAGUAACGUAGCUAACGCGUGAAGUUGACCGCCUGGGGAGUACGGUCGCAAGAUUA
rnacentral:rRNA from 1 species